UGAGGAACAUGACCUUCGGCGGGGGAUAGCCGGCCCAACGGCCGGGUAAUACCGCGUACGACCACAUGGGGACAUCCCUGAGUGGUGAAAGCAGCAAUGCGCCGAUGGAGUGCCUCGCGGCCUAUCAGCUAGCUGGUGAGGUAACGGCUCACCAAGGCGGCGACGGGUAGCUGGUCUGAGAGGAUGGCCAGCCACAUUGGGACUGAGACACGGCCCAGAUCCGUAACGGG
rnacentral:rRNA from 1 species